CCACACUUGGCUCUACAAAGGUCCCCCAGAGCUGAGGCCUUUGCUGUGCACAGGAACAGCCGUGCCCAGGCUGGAGAGCAGAAAGGCAGCAGAAAUCUGUUUUAUUUUAUUUCCCUACAUGCUGAGUUCAUCCAUUUCACUUACAGACACCACUGCAGUGGCACCCAGCACUCCAGGACCCACCGCCCAGGGGGGCACCACUGAAGGGGACUCCUGCCUGGAGACACCAGAUCCAGACAGCAGAAUGCUGAAAGACCUGGAUUCCUUCUGCCUUGUCUUCCUGUGGCUCCCCUCAGCAGGGCUCUGCCUCCUGCUCCUCCAGCUCCUGGCCACCACCAUCGUGCUGCAUCGACUUAAGGUUGCACCUCAGGCCUGAAACCACAGCCCUGCCCCUGAGAACGUGCUGGCUGCUUUGGGAGGCGUGGGAUAACAGGAGAAGGAUCCCUGCAAUAGUCACUGCCUGGACACCUUCCAACAAAUCAUCCUGACACUUCCUGAGUGCCCUUCCCCUCCCUGUCCAGCCCUUUCCCAUGAUUUUGUAGGAAGGAAGUGCAAUGAUCUGAUUGCAGCAUCAGGGGUUCUUUCCCAACAAAAGGCCGUGUGAUUUGCAUGGGAAGCAUUGCCUUGAAAAUAUAUUUUCUCUAUUCAAUGUUGCUGAAUGUGACAUGUGACACACACCAAAAUUAAAUGCAUGAACACUGAACAGAAAGCUGCUCAGAAAACUGAGCAAAAGCAUUCUUCUGUAUUGCAAUCCCUGUAAACUUUGUUGUUCUUCCAAAUUAAAUUACUACCUCCUGACCCAGAGAUUAAUUAUUUAUUGCCUGUUCUACUGCUUGGGAGCCUACAGAGGACAGUCCUGUGGGGAGAAACAGGACAUGGGUAUUUAAAUUCAAAAAAGCAUUUCAGUAAGAUGAACACAUUUACAACAAAGUCCUUGCUACUGCAUGGAAUGCUAACACAGGAUAAACAGAGAAAAAUAAAACCCCAAGCAAUAAAAAAAUAUAUUUGGGC
rnacentral:lncRNA from 1 species